rnacentral:rRNA from 1 species
ACCUGCCCUAUGAUUAAAAAUUAAAUGGCUGCGGUAUUUUGACCGUGCAAAGGUAGCAUAAUAAUUAGUUUUUUAAUUGGGAACUGGUAUGAAAGGUCGAACGAGAAAGAAACUGUCUCAAUUUAAUUUAAAUUAGAAUUUUAUUUUUAAGUAAAAAAGCUUAAAUAUAUUUAAAAGACGAGAAGACCCUAUAGAGUUUUAUAUUAAGAUAAUUAUGUAGGAAAUUAAAGGAUUAUUUUUUUUAUAAUUAUUAAAAUAUUUGGUUGGGGCGAUUGAAAAAUUUAAUAAACUUUUUUUAAAUUAUAACAUUGAUUUAUGAAUAAGUGAUCCAUAUUUAAUGAUUAUAAGAUUAAAUUA